rnacentral:rRNA from 1 species
UACGGGGGGGGCAAGCGUUGUUCGGAUUUACUGGGCGUAAAGGGCGCGUAGGCGGCCACCGCAAGUCGGUUGUGAAAUCUCUGGGCUUAACCCAGAAAGGUCAACCGAUACUGCGGGGCUAGAGUGCAGAAGGGGCAACUGGAAUUCUCGGUGUAGCGGUGAAAUGCGUAGAUAUCGAGAGGAACACCUGCGGCGAAGGCGGGUUGCAGGGCUGACACUGACGCUGAAGCGCGAAAGCUAGGGGAGCGAACGGG